rnacentral:rRNA from 1 species
CAAUAGCGUAUAUUAAAGCUGUUGCGGUUAAAAAGCUCGUAGUUGGAUUUCUGUCAAGUACAACUGGUCCGCCCUCCGGGUGAGCACAUAGUUUGGUCUUGGCAUCUUGCUGGGAAUUGUUGCUGCACUUGGCUGUGUGGCGCAGUGCCCAGCACUUUCACUUUGAGGAAAUUGGAGUGUUUCAAGCAGGCAAUGCCUUUGAACACAGUAGCAUGGAAUAAUUAGAUUGGGCUUUUGCUCCAAUUUGUCGGUUUCUGGAGCUGAGGUGAGAAUUAAUGGGGAUUGUUGGGGGCAUCCGAAUUUAGCCGUCAGAGGUGAAAUUCUUGGAUCUGCUAAAGACGGACAACUGCGAAAGCGUUUGCCCAGGAUGUUUUCAUUGA